GCUGGCGGCGUGCCUAACACAUGCAAGUCGAACGCGAAAGUGGAGCAAUCCAUGAGUAGAGUGGCGAACGGGUGAGUAACACGUGGGUGACCUACCCUCGAGUGGGGGAUAACAUCCCGAAAGGGGUGCUAAUACCGCAUGACAUCCUGCCUUUGAACAGGCGGACAUUAAAGCCGGGGAUCGCAAGACCUGGCGCUCGUGGAGGGGCCCGCGCCCGAUUAGCUAGUUGGUGAGGUAAUGGCUCACCAAGGCUACGAUCGGUAUCCGGCCUGAGAGGGCGGACGGACACACUGGGACUGAGACACGGCCCAGACUCCUACGGGAGGCAGCAGUGGGGAAUUGUUCGCAAUGGGCGAAAGCCUGACGACGCAACGCCGCGUGGAGGAUGGAGAUCUUCGGGUCGUAAACUCCUUUCGAUCGGGACGAAUGAUCGGUGACCUAAUACGUCAUCGGAAUGACGGUACCGAGAGAAGAAGCCCCGGCUAACUCCGUGCCAGCAGCCGCGGUAAUACGGGGGGGGGCAAGCGUUGUUCGGAAUUACUGGGCGUAAAGGGCGCGUAGGCGGCCUUCUAAGUCGGACGUGAAAUCCCUCGGCUUAACCGAGGAACUGCGUCUGAUACUGGAAGGCUUGAAUCCGGGAGAGGGAUG
rnacentral:rRNA from 1 species